CGAACGACCACCGUUGCGUUCCUUUCCGUCCUCACUGAGACCUGGACUAUAAAACACAACGUGGCCACCAACGACCAGGACUACAGCCUCUCAAAGACUGCAGUCGGGCUCAGAGGGGCAGUGUGGAGACCCCUAGUGGUCUGAGACCAGGAGCUCUGAACGCUCUGGAGUCCACGCUGGAGACUUGGUGGGAACGUCACUCCUCGUCCUCCAACCUGUUUAUGAUGUGGUCCCCUGUCAGGCUGGGGGUUAGAUGUUCCCCUGGGUCUAAUGAUGAACCAUCUUCACAUUCAAGUGAGGAGACCAACAUUUGAUUGAGGCAUCCUAGAGAUGGGAGGGUCAUCACGACUACCUCUUGGCUGUUGGAGGCGGUCGUCUUGACGACCUGGUUCAGCAGAUUCUAGACCUAGAGGAGCAUCAACGCGUUUCGAGGGACCCCAACUUCAGAGUGAGAGGCAAGGACCUGGUAGAUCUACCUGAAGACCCCCACCUCUCCGUCAGGUGGGCAGCGGCCCACGGCUCCACCCCACCAAGUUGACUCAACCUACCAACGUCUUCCAGUCUGGAGCAGACACCCUGACCCAACCUGCGCC
ensembl:lncRNA